UUUACAAAAAAAUUAGUGUUA
rnacentral:piRNA from 1 species